rfam:Equus caballus chromosome 15, whole genome shotgun sequence.
CUUCCCGCGCCCAGCCCGGAGCCCGCCACUACCGAGGACCUUGACCUCGCGCGGACCUCGUCGCCUCGUUUAGCUCUCCCUGACCUGCUUUUGAACCCGCUAAUCCUGUCCCGAACUCUCGCCCCGCAGCCAUGCCUCGCCCCAGCCCCGGCGCUCUAAUUCCCGCUGACCCCGCCGCCCCUCGCGGCUCGCCGGGCUUUGAAGGGCGGCGAGGGCUCCGGGCCUCCGAGUGCGGUGCGAUCUGGUGCGCGGGCUGGGACCGCCCGGCAUCGCCCCUGCCCGCGCUCACACGCCCUCGGACCCAAACAGUCUCGUGUUGCAAACAUUCUUUCCUUCUCUUGCUUUGGCUGGUUUCCCCUUAGUUUAACUCGUUUCUUUAAGAAACCUAUCAGACCCACAAAGAUCAAAAUGUUGGGUAACAUGCUAAGCUGGCGACGCUGUGGGGAAGCCGGCACCUUCACACGGAGCUGGAGAAUCAUGAGGGCGCAGAAAGGGUAAGCCGGAGGCGGGCUGUCCGGAGCGAGCGCCAGGCGCGGGCCAAAGCGGAAAAGGCAGGACCGAGAACGGAGGCCA